rnacentral:rRNA from 1 species
UUAUAAGAGACAGCAGUAGCCACGGUAAUACAGAGGGUGCGAGCGUUAAUCGGAUUUACUGGGCGUAAAGCGUGCGUAGGCGGCUUCUUAAGUCGGAUGUGAAAUCCCUGAGCUUAACUUAGGAAUUGCAUUCGAUACUGGGAAGCUAGAGUAUGGGAGAGGAUGGUAGAAUUCCAGGUGUAGCGGUGAAAUGCGUAGAGAUCUGGAGGAAUACCGAUGGCGAAGGCAGCCAUCUGGCCUAAUACUGACGCUGAGGUACGAAAGCAUGGGGAGCAAACAGGAUUAGAUACCCCGGUAGUCCCUGUCUCUUAUAC